rnacentral:rRNA from 1 species
AUGAAAAAGAGAAAAUGUCCAGGAAACCCGUGUUGCUCCUUCUGUAAAAGGCUGGAGACAGCCCAACAUCUCUUUUUUACUUGCCCUGUGGCCAGAGUAGUAUGGCGAUCCAUCGGGGUGGUGCUGGGCACUGACAAGUGGCCCAAAAACUACUGGCAAUAUUUCGUGUGGUGUCACAAAUUUCUUCCUGGGAAGAAGUCUUUUUACACGGUGGGCCUGGCGGCCACCUGUUGGGCUAUAUGGUUGUCACGCAAUCGGGCCACUUUUGAAAAAAAACUAAUCAAGACUCCUUUUGAGAUUGUGUUUUCUCUGUGCUCCUUUCUGUUAUACUGGACAGGUCUACAACAAGGGGAUGCCGCCAGGGAGCUGCGUACGGGUGCGGAGAUGAUCAGGGCUAGCACAAUGCAGCUGAUGAAGAUGUGCGCCGCCGCCAAACAAACGAUCCAGGGCACCUAA